rnacentral:rRNA from 1 species
AUUGAACGCUGGCGGCAGGCCUAACACAUGCAAGUCGAGCGGAGCGGCGGACGGGUGGGUAAUGCCUAGGCACCUGCCGGGUGGUGGGGGAUAACGUCCGGAAACGGGCGCUAAUACGGCAGACUAGCAGAUGAGCCUCGGUCUGAUUAGCUAGUGGGUGGGGUAAAGGCCCACCAAGGAGACGAUCCGUAACUGGUCUGAGAGGAUGCUCAGCCACACUGGAACUGAGACACGGUCCAGACUCCUACGGGAGGCAGCAGUGGGGAAUCUUGGACAAUGGGGGAAAGCCUGAUCCAGCCAUGCCGCGUGUGUGAAGAAGGUCUUCGGAUUGUAAAGCACUUUUAGUUGGGAGGCGUUACCAGCAGAAUAAGCACCGGCUAACUUCGUGCCAGCAGCCGCGGUAAUUC